rnacentral:lncRNA from 1 species
GAUAAACUACCAAAACAAACCAUCUGAAAGCUUAAUUCUUGUUUGCUACCAUUGAUGCAAAACAGCUAUAGUAUGACACAAUGUCGCAGUCGAACUUUAUUCAGGAUAGAAAAGUAAGAAAACAAGAAAACACACAUAACAAAUAUAUAAAAAUAUAGGACAAGAGGCAAACAUAUAGUCUUUUGGCUUCAAUAAUCCUCUUCAUCUGUUUCCCUUCAUAGUUCAGUGCCUUGUCCUGCUUCUUCGCCUGCAAGAUACUCAACUAUGUUAAACGAGGCAAAGCAACCAUUUUGUUCAAACAUGUAAAGCUUGCAUUUGCUUCUUACCUCGGAGACCUUGAAUACGAGGAAGAGCNNNNNNNNNNNNNNNNNNNNNNNNNNNNNNNNNNNNNNNNNNNNNNNNNNNNNNNNNNNNNNNNNNNNNNNNNNNNNNNNNNNNNNNNNNNNNNNNNNNNCCCGACAUAUGUCAAUAGUUUAGGUGUCUUGUUAAUAUUUGUUUCGGUUCAUUUAUUUAGAUUUAUUUCCUAAACGAAAUCUAUUUUUUACCUUUCUUCUCUUAGCUUACAUUCGAUUGAUUUAAAAGACAGAGAAAUGAAAUACACCUAUUUCAACUCAAUGGCAGAUCAAUUUUCAUCGACAUACCUUUAAUUCAAUUUGACAGGGACUGAACACUCUUUUAUCAAUAUUAAUGUUGAGUUGUUAACAAGAUGAUUGUACCAUGAAUAAACGACGCUUAGGAGGACUUGCGUACUGCCUUUAGUGAAAAUAUUAACUUCCGAUCCAUGAUUGCGUUGUUUGGUACUAUCAGACAAUAGUCAUUAGCGACUCUAAUCUACCAGUACAUUGUUAGAAUGUUUUAUAGUACAUACUUUUACCAACCAGUUGCAAGUUGAAACCAUCUUUUAAAAAAGCCUUUAAAAAUAAAUGAUGAUUAAAGCUUUAUACUAAUUAGGUUCCAAGUGGGGAGUUAUCUCGGGGGUCUCAUUUGACGUGUGAUGUUGAAUUUAUGAAAGAUAUUCUAAUGAUCUCGUGGUCCCUUUCAUAGGGUAUGCAUAACCACCAUGUUAUGUUUUAAUGUAACUAACAAAUUGACAAAAUGAGGUGAAUGUGAGACUCCGAAACUUGAAAACUUCCAUUAAACAUGUACGAAAAACAUAAUCAAACUUGAGUAGUGCGAGUUCAUGUUACGUAUCUUAUCUUGGUCAAAAAAAAAAUGUUACGUAUCUUAUAUUAUACGUACAUAUUAGAGGAUUAUUUGGUGUGUUGCAUAUGUCAUAUGAUAUGCACAUAGAUCGUUAUAUUAUCCUAUCAUAUUACUGUUUUUUGCAAGUAAUUAAAUAAAAAGGGACACGAGGAUAAAAGGUAAAAGAAAGUUUAGGAUCAUCAUCUUUGUUUUUUAUUCGGACUUUCAAAUCAGACAAGACAACGAGGUAUGGGUCUUUUAACAUACAGAGACGAGACUUAAAAUCCAUCAAACCACCAAUAAAAAAAAGGAAACGAGAGAAAACAUCCAAUUCAACUAUCUGUUUGAAUCAAGACAAGAUAUAAAGUGUAUCAUGCUGAUUUUGAACAGAUUAUUAAUAUCUCAACCAUCCUUUCAUUGAGAUAUUAGAAAACUAUAGAGGCUAUUAAUCUUUUUUUCUUAUCAUAUCAUCGUAUGCAUGCAUGUUGAAUUCUAACUAGAUACUUCAAUUACUUGAGAUAUCAUUUGUCGUGUAUGUUCUCAAUAACAUAAAUUGUUAUAUAAUCACUUAAUCAGACUCUAGCAUGUCCCUAGGAUUACUUCGGUUUCUUUUUAUUAUCAAAACAGAUAAUCACUUAAUCAGCUUUUGACCUUAAAAUCGUUAUAAAAAUAAUAUGAAGGCAGCUGCUGAAAAAAUGCUGCAGGCUUUUAGCAACUGCCUCCCAUAUGCUUUAUCUUUGUUUCAGAAAUUGUAAAUACGAGGAUAAUUAAGUACUUAUGUUUUGAAUGUUUCACAGUGAAACAAAUAAUGCAGUUAGGGCGCAUUCAUUAAUUAAGAGAAAGUGCAGUGAUGAUGUUUUCUGUGCAAGUUAAAAUAAAAGAAAAUAGUAAAAGGUAUAUUCUUACACUACAUGUUAGAGCAUCUCCAAACCCGCUUUAUUUUUCACUCUAAAAUAGAGUUUAGAGUAAAAAAAUGCUCUAAUGGUAUUCUAUUUCUCACUCUAUAAUAGAGUGAAAAAUAUGUUUACUCCAAAUAUAGAGUAAUUUGUUUUUUUUGUUCAUCACUCUAUUUUCUAUUCUAAAAUAGAGUACCAUUGGAACAAACUCAAACUCUAUUAUAGAGUUACUCUAUUUUAGAGUAAAAAAUAGAAUAAGCCAUUGGAAAUUGUUUUAUUGUGUAACUUGAAUGAGAAUAUCUUUUUAUUUUUGUAACUGGGACUUGAAUGAGAAUAUCAUAUUGACGAUUUCGAUUUUACAGCUGAUACAAUCUAUAGUUUACUCUACAGAGCAAGAUCGGUUAUAAAAUCCAGAUGAUUGACAUUUCUUUUUCACCAAACUGUUAAAUAUACAUUACCAAGCUCUUAUAAAAUCCAGAUGAUUAACUACGCCGAACAAUUGCGACCUGGUUUUAUGACCAUCUCCAAUGAUUCAUACUAUUUUUUACUAUUUAUAGAAUAAUUUUAUAAUAAAAUUGAGUUAUAUUUCAAUAAUACUCUAUUUUAGAGUAAAAAGUAUAGCGAUGAACAAAGAAAAAACAACUUACUUCAUAUAUAGAAUAAAUCCAUUUUUUUAUUCUAUUAUAAAAUAAAAAAUAAAGUACCAUUGAAAUAUUUUUACUCUAAACUCUAUUUUACAAUAGAAAAUAUAGUAAGAGAUGCACUAAUAAUACUAAAACAUAUAUGGAUAUAUCAUAUAUGUAUAUAUAAACUUUUUGUUAAUAUUAACUGCAGAAUUGUAAACAUUUAAGUCAAUGAAUUGUAUAAUUGAGAAGAACAGUAAAUUCUAUAAUUUUCAUUAUUCAUCGUGCAAUACAAGAACUGAUUUAAAGUCGCACGUUAAUUUAACGCAUAUGUCAGUAGCAUGGGCUUAAAAGUCCAUAGAAUAAAAUAGCAACAACCAACUACGAUGUAUAUUCUUUAUUAUCACGACACGAGUCGUAAUAUUUUUUAAAUAUAUAGCGUUUCAUACAACAGAAUUAACGUCUGUGUUUCUCCUAACAAGUAAGAAUUGGAAUUGUCGUUCAAAUUACCAAAAAAAAGGAAUUUUUUUGUCAAACACAAAAGACGUAUUACUUCAUUUUCUAUAAACUAAUGGAAGUUUUUCAAAAUUUCCCCGUCAAAAUUAAACUCUGAUAUAUAAAAUUCAUUUUAUUAGAGUUUCAUCCGUGGUAGCACAGAGAACAUGCUUGACAUUUUAUACAGACUUCUAUUUUAAACAAUGGGUUACAAGAAAGCAUAUAAAAGCUUGUAUCAUUUGUUACCCAAUAAAAUAAAAACUAACUGCUAGUACUAGUUUAGUAAGUGUAUCUCACGUGCGACGAGGAAUUGUUUUGGGAGAAGGAGAAAGAAAGAAAACACUCUUUUUAUAAUUUUUAGGAAUUUUUAUAAUGUUACUUGCCUUGUUUGAAAAACCGUGAGAAGAAAAAAAAACACGAACUCAUUGCUUUUGCUACAGUAACAGCUAGUCUAAACUUUUAACUCGGUGACAGUCCAAUCAUUAUAACCCCUGUGUCUUAGCUGGCGCGUGACAGUUACUCUAUUUUCUCUUCUCCAUUGCCCAUAAAAAUCAAAAACUCUGCUUUUAAUUGUUCACAGAGAGAGAGAGAAGUGAAGCAACAAAAAAAAAAGAAGAGAUAAUGGGAGAUAAUAAGAAACUGAUUUCAUCUUCUUCUUCUUCAACUAAUACCUCGAUUUACGACACUCGUGGUAAUAAUAGUAACAAUCAUCAUCAUCAUCAUCCUCCGUCAUCUUCCGACGAGAUUUCUCAGUUUCUCCGGCAUAUUUUCGACCGUUCUUCUCCUUUACCUUCUUACUACUCUCCGGCCAUGACCACGACGACUUCCACGGCGGCGAUAGGUGUUCAGGGAGACCCGCAUGCAGACAACCCGAGAAGCUUCGUUUCUACUACACCGGCGUCGAAGCGCGCCGUUGAUUUCUCCGACGUUUUGAUCGGCUCCGCCGCCGCCGCCGCNNNNNNNNNNNNNNNNNNNNNNNNNNNNNNNNNNNNNNNNNNNNNNNNNNCGCCGCCGGGUGUUAUGGUUUCCCCGGCGGUGGUAACAACAUUGCUCAAGGGAGCAGCUCGGGGACUCGUGUUUCGUCUUCUUCCAUUGGAGCUAGCGGGAACGAGACCGACGAGUAUGACUGCGAAAGCGAGGUUUUGCUUUGAAACUUUGUCUCUUUGCAUGUUCUAAGAGUUUCCAUCUUUGUCUGUUUUCCGACAAAAUUACCAACAGUGAUUUUUCUCUUAACGGAUCUGUACGCUUUUUUUUUUCCCACCUUAAUUGUCUGAAUGUUGAUAAUUAAUUAUAAUGCACACCUUAACGUGGUUGGAUGAAAAAAAAUAGGAAGGAGUAGAAGCUGUGGUUGAUGAUGAGCUUCCCUCGAAGUCUCGUAACUCAUCUAAGAGGUGCAGAGCUGCUGAAGUUCAUAAUUUGUCUGAAAAGGUUUAGUUUAACUAGGCUCUCCCAAAAUUAUAAGUUUUUUCAGACACAAUCAAUGCUAUUGUUACUUGAGACUAAUGUUACCUACUUUUUAUGACAGAGGAGAAGAAGUAGAAUCAAUGAAAAAAUGAAAGCUUUACAAAGUCUCAUCCCUAAUUCAAAUAAGGUACUAUUAUGUAUAUAAACACACAUUUACAUGAAUCAUUUUUUUUCCUCCGAUUCUGAUGUACAAUAUACAUGCCGUUGUUUUCAUUGGGGGAAGACGGAUAAGGCUUCGAUGCUUGAUGAAGCCAUAGAGUAUCUGAAACAGCUUCAGCUCCAAGUUCAGGUCACUUAAAGAUUAACUAAUUAAUUUGUUAUAACGAAAUAUAUAUUGGUCUAUUAUCUGUGGCGGGUGAUGAUAAGUUUUCUUAUUUAUUCUGAUAUUUGAAGAUGUUGACAAUGAGGAAUGGGCUAAACUUGCAUCCUUUAUGCUUACCUGGAACUUCAUUACACCCACUGCAACUCUCACAGAUCCGACCUCCAGAAACAAGCAAUGAUCCUCUGCUUAACCACUCCAACCAAUAUGCUUCGACUUCUAAUGCACCGGAUAUGAUCAACAUGCCUUCCGCGUACACAAUGGAACCUUCCAUCCGCAGUCACUUUGGACCUUUUCCCCACUUCACUCCACCUGUGGUGUGUUAGUUAAAUUAUCACAUUUUCACUCUAUAAACUUUAGAUUCUUUUGAAAGCUAGUUUGCUUAUUAGAAAUAUAUUUGUUUCUUGAAAGGAGAUGAGUCGAGAAGGCGGGUUAACUCAUCAGAGGUUGAACACUAGUGGUAAGAUUGGCUCUGAAUCUUAAAGAAGUUUAUAAUAUUGACGGGAGACAAUGUUAAAAAAUGUUCCGACAUUUUGGCAAUUUGCAGGAGAACAUGCUGCGUUUGAUGGACAACAUCCUGAGAUAAAAGAUCGACUUACUUGAACCUCAUUCUCAGUUUGGGGGGCUCUAUGCGUUCUUGUUUCUUAGGUCGCAAGCAACGAAGCUGCAUGACAAUGAAAAUGCAUUUAGCGUCUUUUAUAUUUUUAUAAUUCUCUAUAUCUUUGUUGUUGUUAACAUGAAUUCUAGAGACUAGUCAUUGGACCUACUAGAUAUUAUAUAAAAGAAGACUUAACUUUUAUUAUGUUCAUGGUGUAAUGUAAAUUUUCUAGAUCAUCGUCGCAUUGUAUUGGGGCCUCUAGUUAUAGAUAAAUGUCUAAAUAACUUUUCUAAUCAAAUGAUAAUGAUGUUGUAAGAUAUUUUUUCGAUAUAUCGUCAAACAUUCUGCAUUGAUUCGUAAGCAUCCACUCAUAUUAUAGAUAAAAUAAAUUUUCAUUGCACCAUCAAGAGAAAGUAGAACUGAGAAAUUUUGAAAAAUCUCAAAUUUAUUACUGUAUUAAAAAAAGAACGUAAAGGGGAGAACCUAUUUUGUCUCAGGAAAACCUAAUUGGUUACUUACACUUUACAGGUUAGUGUAAGUGCCAAGUUGUAUGACUUCAUCCAUUUCCUCUGGCUCAAUGAAGCUCCUGUGUCCUGUCGGUGAGCUGCAUUUAGAUUUCACAGUUGUAGUUUUGUCUGCUUCGGUCUUUGUAUAAAACAAAGAUAUAACCAUAGUAUCAGCCUUGCCAUUUUCUGAAUUCUUGAUCUCACCUUUUUGUAUAACAACAUUGUCUCAUAAUGAUAUUCACCAACAUCUCUCCGAAUAAAAAUUCAGAAUUUAGAUUCCAACGUCAUUGUUAUUUGUUUGAUUAUUGGUUUAUUAUUUAGCUUAUUAUUAUUACAUACUCAACAUGUAUCCUAAAAACUAGAAAUUGCAAGAUGUAAAAGCAAAAUGUAUUAUGGAAUCAAUAUGAGACGUUAUCACAAGGUAGGAAAAUAUUUGAAGGUAAUUUCAAAAUUAACACAUAUUAUAGGGGUCAUUGACCUAAAAUUUACAAAACUUACCAAGUUUUUGAUGAAAUAUACAAGUAGUUUUUUUUUAAUAAGAAACACCUGGGUCAAUUGACCCACAUGGUAACACUGUGGCUCCGCCACUGGUUUGCACUGUCUUUCCUCAGUAACAAGUUCAUGAUAGUUUAAAUGUAUUAGGCCUAACCCAAUUAUAAUGUCUAAAAAACCAAUCCAAAUGCCGAAAUUCUAUAGCUACAUUCUUAGCUCAAUUGUUCUGUUUUUUUUUUUAACUGAAAAUUAUUUAUUAUUUAGAUAGUAACCAAAUUACAUAAAUACAUAUACAACAACGAGAAACAAAAAAAAACUUUUUCAAAAAAAUAAAAUAAAAUAAUGAGAAACAACAAAUCUCCAACCUCAUUGUUAUUUGUUUGAUUAUUGGUUUAUUAUUUAGUUGUUUAUUACAUACUCAACAUGUAUACUAAAGAAUAGAAAUUGUAGGACGUAAAAACAAAAUGUAUUAUAGAAUCAGUAUGAGACGUUAUCACAAAACUCGUUUGCACUGUUUUUUCUCAAUAACAAGCUCAUGAGAAUCAGCUCAAAUGUAUUGGGCCUAACCCAAUUAUAAUGUCUAAAAACUAACCUAAAGGCCCAAAUUCAAGGAGAAGCGGAUGGUGUUCGCGCAGCAGCACAUGAUGACCCUUUCAAACUGGCUCCCCAUAUCAACAAAAUGAGCAACGAAAGGAGAUAGAAACACAUGCGCUCUCUUGCUCUCUUGCUCUUUCUCUUUCUCUUUCUCUUGAUUUAAGUUACACUCGAAACAUUUCACACAUGUAAAACAAGCUUCGAGUCCAUUAAUACAAGGUUUGGUGACUUUACUUGGUGGCAAAAGAAUUAUUCCAUCUUUCAACAUCUGACACUUUCAUUAGUUAACUAUAACCGACAAAUAACAAAUCAAACUUUUUUUUUAUCUUUGGUUAACACUAAGCAGAGUAUAUAAAUGGCAAAAAAAAAAGUUUUGUGUUCUUUCAAAAAAUAAUCUAAUAUUCAUUUACAAUAGUCAACGAGCUAAUUAACAAAAGAUUAAAUCAAGACCGUCAAUUCUCUAAUUAACCCCAUAAUUAUCUCCAUCAUGUGACUUGGUCUUUCUCCACUAAUUAAACUACUAUACUACUCCCUUCAACCUCACGUACGUUGACCCAAUCACAUGAAACCGACCAAUCAGGUACAUUCUCGGAAACUAACCCACUGAUUCUCUCCUUUGGUAAACAUACCAAAUAACUGAACGGUGAACAAUUAACCGGUGAGCAAACCGUAACUGAAUCGUUAACCGAGUUCCAAUCAGGAAAAUCAAAAGGAUCUCUCGGUGAAACCGAAGCCUCGUCUUCAUCGCCACACCUCAGUGAACCACUACUUCUCUCAUCAUCAUGAUCAACGGCUAAGAACGGAUGAUCCAAAAGCAUCUGAGCCGUCCAUCUCUCCACCGGGUCUUUGACAAAACACCUCCUCACGAAAUCUUUCCCUUCCUCCGACAACUCAACCGGAAUCUUCGGAACAUCUCCCGAACCGAUACGAACCAUCAAAGACAUUACGUUCCCAACUCCUUCCUCCAAACACCAUGCCGUUUUGCCACUCGACAUCUCAACUACACACCAUCCCAACGCCCAAACAUCCGCCGGAGACUCAAACUCGCCGCGAUUAACCGCUUCCGGCGCCAAAUAUAACGGCGUUCCUCUUAUCUCAUCCACGGUCUCGCCCCUCCGUUUCGCCAACCCGAAAUCGGAAAUCUUCACGCCUCCGUCGCCGAACACCAAAACAUUCUCAAGCUUUACAUCGCAAUGAGAGUAACCAUUCGCGUGGACGCGACGCAACCCUUUAACAAUCGACCUCGUGAACCGCCGCACUUCGAACUCCGGCAGCCCCUCGCCGGAGUUCUUGAUCCUAUCCCUCAAGUUUCCGCCGGAAGCGUACUCGAGAAACAGAUUGUAUACCUCCUCUCCGUUCUCCACCGUCGUUGCUCCUCCGAAACACCGCACGAUCUCCGGACAGUGGCCGAGAUCUUCAAGAACGUCUCUCUCGUUGCGUAACGCGGCGGAGCAGACUGCUCCGGAGGAUUUCACGGCGAUCAAGGGAGGAAAGGAGGUUGAGCUUGCGGAGGUAGUGGCUAGACUAACGGUGGAGAAGCUCCCGUGACCUAUUGUCUCUCGACGAACCCACUCCAUUAAUUGUAGAACUCAAAGCACAGAGAAAUAAAAAGUCUACGAAACAGUUAGUUUCUCUCUGUACUUUCUUCUGCAACUCUACUUGUUCUGUCUUUAUAUAUAUAUACUCACUUUAAUUAAUUUUAAUUUUUUUUUGUAAAAAGAAGGAAAAAUGCAAAGUUUGUUGUGAACACUAGUGUAUUGUUGUGGAAUUGAUGCACGUGAUAUAAGGCCUAUUACUGUAUAGUAUUUGUUAUUUGGUCUUGGCCACGAGAUAAAAUAGCGGCAAAUGAAGAAAACGUGGGUGGUGAGAACGAAGAAGAAGACUCUUCUUGUUGCCUUCUUUAAGAUAUUUCUUCCUUGCCAUGCGCAUCACGCGUUUUUUUUAACAAAAUAUAAAAAUAUCGCUUAUGAAACACAACUAUAGAUUUGCACCAUACCUAAACAGGUUUAUAUAAUGAUUUACUACAAUUUUGUCUUGUGAAUACAGAUUUUUGAUGUUUUUCCAUCACGUAAGCAUAAAGGAAUAUGAAUUUAGUUAUGAUUUUAUAUACUUUGGAAGAAAUGCAUGAGGUAGAUUCGUAGUUCUACACGUUUGUUUCAAGAUCUACCAUGUGAAUUGCGUUUUUUCAAGUAGGGUAAAUAUCCAGAGGAGAGAUCUUGAUUGUUUUUUCCUGACGUGAACUAUUUUUCAUAUGGCUGUGAAUAUUGAUUAUCUUUUAGAAUAAAUUAUAUAAUGGUCAAAAUAAUUGUAGAACAGCUCUCUUAGCUUCUUGACAGACUCUGAAGAUGUUUACAAGCUUUGGGCUUUCGUAGGCAAGUUCCUAAACCCUGGUUUUAGCAGAGAAGGUUCGCUUCCUACUGUAGAAGAAGAAGAAGAAGAUGCAGAGGACUCAGAGACGUGAGUUCUUAGUAGAAAUGCACAAAGCCACAACUUUUUAGAAGAACUGUGAAUGAAUAGAUUUGGUAUAGCUUAUUAUUAAAAAUCAACAGUUUAUCAUUCAUUAUUAGAUGCACCAACCUUGACUAAUUUUGAGUUAGAAUUUUAAGCGAUGUAUAAAAGUAUAUAAUCUUUUGCCAUGAGGGCUACCAGAAUGAACUUGAAACGUCACCAUGUAGUUAAUUUAUCACCUACUACUAUAUGCCAGAGAAAGAGACUCAUACAAACAUCACAUAUAUAUAUAUAUAUAUGCCCACAAAAUUUGGUGCCUAAAGUAUGGGUCUUACGAGCGUUAGGCCAUGACCGGCCUUGAGCACCAGGAAGUUGAAUUUGUGCUGUAAACCAGAGACGGUAUUAGUAUGAUCAUGAUGAUAGAGUUAGUGCCCAAAUGAGCUAAAGCUGCAGCAUGAAACGAGUAUACAUAAAUGCACCAAAUGGUUACAAAUAUUUGCUUUGUUAUGUAUGAUUUUAAAAUGAAAUAAAUCAAAGAUAACUGAAGGUCCAAUUAUGAGGGAUCAGUUAAAAGGCCUAAAUUUUAGGCCCAUUUUGCUCAAUAUACAUAGGGAGAUUCUAAAUUGCAGAAGUGAGCUUUAUUUUUAAUAAUUGGCGAACUUGUACCUCGACGGCGGUGGAAUGACUGAUUUGCCCUCAUGGCAGAAAAGCUUAUCUAGUAGCCAAAAAACCUGCAACCGGUUAUAGUUUUAGUUGAAUUAUUUAGUUUACAUUUUGCGAUGGUCAUACGUGUUUGGGUUGUAUAUAACACCACAUGUUAAAUAGGUUUCGUUUCCAAUAUAAUCAACAGGUGUAGUUAUAAUAAUGACAUCCUAUUUAUAAAGGAGAAGGCCACUCUCCACGUUUUCCAUUGCAUAAAACUCAGAAAGUGAAGAAUAUGAAACUCAGAGUAAUGCAGCCUCGUAAGAUUUCUUUAUACAAUCAAAGUUGUAAAAGUCACCCAUAUCCCGGUACUUCCAAAUCUCUUCGCAUCAAUCCAUGGAGAUCCAAAUGGUUAAAUGUGAAAGGGAGUGAUUAUGAUUAAAUGAGAGUCAGACUUUCUCAUUAACAUUACAACAUUCGGAGGUACUUUAGUUUUGUAUACCACAUAUUCGUCAUUAAUUAAUAUUGGAGGGUUACUAUUUUUCAAUACUGAUUUGAAUGAUGGAUGAUAAACAGAAUUCAGAUUGGAUAAGUAGAUCCGUAAACGACAGCGUUGAGAGAUAGGUUAAUAAUGUUUGCUAGAUAUUUUUUGUGAAACAAGUGACUGUCGUUGUUUUGUGUACUAUUCAUUCGAUUGUGAAAUGUUAAAAUUCUUUGGGUACUCAUCAAAUCGGUGUCUAAAAUCCAAAAUAAAAUAUAGUUUAAUUAAAGGAGGGGGAGGAGCCACGUUUCCAUAAUAAGUAGCAUACGUUUAAGUUGGGUUCCCCCUCGCAAACUGCACUAUAAAUAAGGAUUAAAGGUGCGAUAGAUAAGACACAACAUCUUUUCCAGAAAUCUGAAGUUCGCGUUGAAAUAUAGGAAUCAAUUGUGAGGGCUGUAAAAGAGAGCUACCAAAUAUAAGUGAGUUCUACACUUUACUCAUUGACUGCAAAAGUUUUAAAUGAGCAUGGCGUGGGAGUAUCAUAAAUAUUUAAGAUAACAUAAGACAAUUAAUUAAGUUUCAUAAUUUCUCAAUUAAUUAUCAUCGUCGUUACCUUGUCCACAGAUGGGUCAGCUUGUACGAAUUAGUAUUGGGGAGUGGAGUAAAAGUGCAGCCGGGUGUUGGCAAUUCGAGGGAGAUCCUUCUGCAGUGGACAAGUAUAUCGUUGCACGCAGCAACGAAAAUAUCAACUCCUUUACGUCUCCCAUAUGGUCACAUGUAGUUCAAUGGUAUGGUCACAUGUUUCGUUUUCAUCUGUUUUGGUAUGCAUUAAUCGAACCAGGGUAGAAGGGAUGUUAAGUUUGAGUGUUUAAUGUAAAAUAUAUGUAAAACACUCUUUAAGAUGUAAAUGUAAAAUAUUAUUUAAAUUAAAAAUCAAGUUCCUCCUUGCUAACCAGACCAAGUGGAUUUCAGACCAACAAUUUCCUUUCCACAUAUAUAACUGUUUAUUAACUGACAUAACUGUAUUUCUGUAUUAUAUCCGUGUUUGUGUAUUAUAUCCGAAUAUCAGCGCCGUUAAAAUGCGACCCCAACAACAGAGUAAUUAUUCGUGUUGGCCGUUGACCCUAAAACAGUAGUAUAUAUCUGUUAACAAGUGUUUCAGUAACGGAAAGUAUAGCAUAGGAAGUAAAACAAACAUAUGACAUACAUGGCUCAAGAUUACGGAAGCAAACAGAAGUAGUUAGGAAAAUGACAGAGACCACCAACUCGAACAGCAAAUUAAACCAUAAUGAAGAUAGUAAGUAUAGUUUAAAUCAGAAGCAUAGACAUUUUAAAAACACACCAAAGGAAAGACGGUAUUAUGGCUUCAACCGUAAACAGAGUUUAACAACAACAACAGCGGAACACACUAGAGCUUCUUGUGGAACUCAUAAGUCAGCACAGCUACCCUUUGUGACUCGUCGGGAAUGAUUGAUGGAGUGAUAGUACUACAACUUUCUGGCCCAUAGAGCGCAUGAGUACACAUCAACAAACAAGCAGUCAAGGCCGCUUCUGCGGGGUUGGUGUUGUGCACCAUACCUUUUACUGUCUCAACAGCGAGGGCCGUCUCCAGAUAGUCAGGCAAGCAACCACAGUGUUUCAGCAAGCAUGGGAACAUUUCACAUAGGGGGGCAACCUCCUUGGUUAAAACGUUUGCGUUCGUAACCUCCGGAUUGCAAUCAAGAACAUAUAUUUUUCCUGCAUUGAAAUCAACGGAAAUUCCGACCCAGUGUUUUCGGCUCAGGGAGAGAGGCAUGUAGAACCGUGAGGCAGCAGUGUUAGAAUUCAAACUCUUCACCACCAUAUCGACGAGGGCCUUUGUGAAUAUAUACGGAGUUCCGGACUUUGCUCUCCUGAACUUUUGAAAGUUCCUAGCCAACAAAACUUGAAGUCCACUAUCCAGGAAAACAGGAGAGGAAUGUGAGGUACCACAAAUUUUGUUGUUCACAGAUGCAGAAACUACCCUCAGAAGAAUGUCCAUAACCUGUAAACAGCAGGACACUGGUGAUCCAAAAUGGGUAGAAAGAUUAAUUCACUAUAAGUUUGAAAUCUAACGUUACAUACUCUGCCUGGGAGAAACCGGUUUCUUUCUCCAAUGUCCGUGAUGUCCUUCCCCGUGACGGAUAGGCCAGCGACGUUUAUAACGCUGAAAGGAAAACAUUUUCCAAAACGUCAGUCAUUUUUACCACAGUUUUAAUAAUAACAAAAAAAUACCAAUAACAGUAAUACAUUAUAAAGGUUCAUACCAAUGAUUCUUGAGUAGAAUCUUCAGACGGCUAUACUUUUCAUGAAUAACUCCUACAUCAUAAGCACCAUUACCAAAAAUCUGGCCUUCUCUCGCACGGUUAAGUAACGCAGUUCCACAUUGGUAGUCGGUGAGCAACUGAGGUGGGACGGUGCGUAUGCGCUUGCUCUUACGGCACAGUAAUGCCUCUCCUCCAUCUACUACAACCUCUCCAUUGCCUUUCCCACCACCCUGAUCUUCGUUCUCUCCCAUCUCAUCAUCAUCUUCAUGAGGAUGUUCGCGAAGCUCCUGAGUUAGGCCAAGUGAGAAUGACGGAACCUGCAGUCGAAUACAAUAUACAACACAUAGUAGCAGCCGUCAAACAAUAACAUAGAAACAAAGUAAUAAUUGAAUGAAAUAUGGGAGGAGAGGAUGUGAUCAUACAAUUGGAUCAACCUGUUGUUCCGUCUGGCUAUGACCAGACCUCGAUGAUUGAUCUUCCACGGACUUUCCCCCUUUUCCAUUCGAAUGCAUGUUAGACAGAUGCUUGUGGAUAGAUUCAGGUUGAACAUGCACCUAAGCGAACCGGGGUUCAUAACAGAUGGACAAAUUGACCGUUAAAAAUACAUUAUUGAAUUUUGAAUACGCAAAUACUAAAAGAAAUUGCUUGCUAAAAAGGUAUGUUGAUAAAAUUUUAAUUUACAACUUAUGUAUAUGAAGACGCGUUAUUUAUAAUUUUGGGGGAAAAAUGAUAUCUGAUAGUGGAGACGUAUCAUGUCGAUACUGAACACAAUGUGGUAAUAUAAAAGACGCCUAAGAAGUUUAUAAAGGCAUGAACAAAUUUCAAAACUUACCGCCUCGUUCUCCAUCAUUUGAUUUCCACUGUUGUGGUCAUCCGCAGCUCCAUCGAAAGGGUUGACCGAUUUUUGGGAGCAUGAUUUACCAGGUGAUCCCUGAAAUGACAACAUUAACACGUUCACAGGCCGUAUAUAUACAUCCAGCUAAUAAGGAAUGUAAAUUUGGUAAUGCGUUGUUCAAUAUCCGGAUAUAAACUACGUAUUCACGAUAUAUAUAUAGGGUUCCGGAUAUUUAACUAUCCCAAAUUGACUUCCCAACAGUUUACUUAACAUGGAGAACCACAUAGAGAGUAAAUAACUAAAGUGUGAGGAUUACCACUUACCGGGCAUUCGUUUUCUGCAGCAGGUGGCGUUGAGUAAUGACUAAUGUUUUCCAUCACAUUUUCGAUUAUCUCAUCAUUAUCAUCAAGAGGAAUGGGAGUCGUCUUUGAAGGAACACCUUCCACUCCCGGUUCUUCACCCGCUGCAGUUGAGUUUGGAUGCGCAAAAGCUGAUUGUGUAUGUAAAGUCGGCAUAAAUUUCAUCAUCUCAGUCUUGAAAGACUGCAACAUUCCUUCAACUAUUGCAAUAACCUUAUUUUCACAUCCAACAGACUGGGCAGACACCUCUUUAACUGAAGAAACAACAUCAGCAAUAUUCCCAUCGAUCCUGUUUACCUCCGGUCGCAGUAUGGCAUUUACAAUAGACGUUAUUCUGAUAUCGCCUUCCAAGCAAACUGGUGGAGCUUUAUCCUUUCUCGGAAUUCCUUUCUUUUUCCCUGCUGUUUUAGCCUUCUCACGCAUUCUUUCCACAUCAGCUUUUGUUACCCCUCCUCUGAACAUAUCUUUUGUAAAGAUAUGGUUAUCGUUUAUGCAACAAAGCAUAAACGAUACUUUUGCGUCAUCAACUUCAUCGGACCAUACAAGCACAGACUCGUCCACCGGCCUAGCUGGGUCUUGAGGUAUUAUACUCCGCACCAUAACCUAACAUACCAAUAAACGACGAAACAACAUUAAAGCUAAUAUAGUAAUUAAUUCAUAUCCUACAUAAGUGGACUAUACAAGUGGGGACCAUACCUCUUCUUUCUUGUCAACUUCGCGAGCAUGUGCAGGACUUAAAGUCUUCUUCUUUGUCUUCCUUGUACUGCGAUCAACAUCAUCUUCAUCGCUAUCAGACUCAGAUGAGGAACAAGACUCUUGCACUACUUCCGUGAGCGAAGGAACAGCUUCGACAAUUACGAGCUGCAAGGCGAAAGCAAAGCCUUUGAGAGCUACUGAAUUUUGGGACAGGGAGAUCUCAUCCUUUUUUUGAUACUAGUCAUCAACAUAUCAAAUGCUAACCGACCCCAAGGGAAAGAAAAGAAUUCGUCGAUGUCCUCAAGCAACUCAGCGUGUUCCUUCAACAUCUUCAUCUUCAGAUUAGUAGAUAACAAAACAGAUGAUACAAUUGCCAGACAGGCCAAUUUUAUCCGGAUAUCUUUGUCGGUGACGGUUUUUUUUCGCAGCAUCUUAACCGCCUUCGACACACGCAGCUCUUCGACACUUCCGAAGAGCUCAGGCCAGUAGGGUUUGUCGUUAAUCUUUUUCUUCUUCUUCAGCUUCUGUUUUUUGGGAAACUCGCCACAUGGAAGACCGGUGACGAUAGCAAACUCUCGGAGGGAAAAUCUUAUGGGCUUCCCAGCAAAUCGGAACCAAGCUUCAUAUUUCUUCUCAACUUUAAGUUGCCUGGAAAGAAGGAAUCGGGCAAAUCUACCUGAGAAGCCGGGUUUGUCACCAAUAUCGACUAGCUUACCAAAGGAAGAUUGUCGGAUAAACUGAAUCUCCUCUUCAUCGAGAGCACUCAAAAUGGAGUUAAUUGCGCGAGAAGACUGGUAUGUAAGAACCCUAACUCCCACGGGCUCCUCGCCGUCGGCGAACAUCAUACCAGGCAGAUUCAUCCUCGUUUCUUCGACUUGAUCUUCAGGAAAUUGAACAGACGGAUUCAUCGCCUUGGAAUUUUGUAGUGAAAUUUUUUGGGGAAGGUGAACAGAACGUGACAAAGAUCUGUGAAAGACGAAAAGCCAAUGAAAGAAGAAAAAGAAACAAUAAAAUUCUUUGAAAAUGUCGGAAAGUUUAUUCAGUAACAGUUGUCACGCGCAUAAUCAUUAAUUGCAAGGGAGUUUUACCGGCUAGCUCUGCGGUGUGUCAGACCCAAAAACUUUUUUAGCCUAAACCCUAGGUAUCAAUAUUUUAUGAUAAUAGGCCUAUUUUCGUCAUUAUGAAAAUGUGAACAGAAGCAUAACCAUUUACCUAAUAUAAUAAGUUAACGUAGUCAUACGAUGCAAAAACCCUAAAUUUUAUGUAACUAUUAAGAUGGGCUUAAGACAACAAAAAAGACAAAUGUUGUUUCGGUUGCUCAUCUCAUGGAAAGGAAGCUUGUGGUUUUUCUUUGCUCAAUCGCAUUGAUAUUUUUUAUAUGUUUUUGAUUUUGUGAACUUUUGAAUGAUUACUUGUAGGUGUUAAGAUUACAUGUCCAAGUUCGGUGACUUUGAGGAUUGCAUCGUCAUGAAGGUGUUUUGCUUUUCAAUUACGAGUCAUCAUCUGAAAAACUUGUUUUUGUGUGUUUAGGAUCGAUCAACUGGAAGAUCUCGUGGCUUUGGAUACGUCACCUUUGCUUCAUCUCAAGAUGCUUCUUCCAUUGGCAUAACUGUGAUGAGUGCUUUGUAGGAAGGACGCUCUGAAAUGUGAACAUGUUUUGGGGAACAGAAUCUUGGAAGUCAAAGUUGCUACACCAAAGGUUAGUAGUUUCCAUAUGGCUUAUGUUCUUUUAUUCAAAAGGGGUUGGUUAUGUUUCAUAACUUAUGUUAAUUGUGACAGGAAGAGAUGAGACAGCCUGCCAAAAAGGCGACAAGGAUCUUUGUUGAGAGGUAUGGUGAAAUCACUGACCUGUACAUGCCUAAGGUGAAAUCUAUCCUACUUAUUUAAUUGCAUUUCUUAUAAUACUUUGAAGAUUUUGUGGUCACAUCUUUAGCUUGGUGUGUCUCCUGGAUUUGAUAGAGUUACACUGAGAACAUUUGGUGAACAUGUUUGCACAUUCAUCUUUUUGUUGUUAACAGGACCCAAAGAGAAGUGGACAUAGAGGUUUCGGGUUCGCUACCUUUGCUGAAAACGGUGUUGCAGAUCGUGUAUCCCGGAGAUCUCAUGAAAUCUGUGGACAAGAGGUAAAUAAAAAAAGCUUUGUAGUUGAGGAUUUGAUUCUUAUGCUUUUUGAUUAAAAAUCUCUACUUAGUUGGGAUAUGGAAUGCCNNNNNNNNNNNNNNNNNNNNNNNNNNNNNNNNNNNNNNNNNNNNAAUGCCGAGCGCAAGACAAUCAAGAUCAGACUGGAGGUACCGGCCAUACUAAUAAUGCACACCUUACAAACAUUAUCAUUGAGCUUUUGGCUUUGUCAGUUGUAUUGAAACUUCACUUGUCAGAUAGAUUUAUUGAAUCCUCAAUGAUCAAUUUAUUUGUUAUGUUUCUUUCCCUUUGGGAAUAACUGAAACCUGCUUUCGUGAUGGUAUUACUAACGCUGGGAUUUUUAACCGAACAGAACCGACCCAAAAAGUUUAGCAAUACCAAUUUUUAACCAAAAUUCCAAACCAAACUAACAAAAAUCCGAAUCGAAAUAACUGAAAUUAACCAUUCUUUUUUUCAAAUUUUAUUCAAUUGUAACAAAAAUAUUUAACCAAAAAUUUUGGUUAAAUUUUUUGAAACCGAACUAACCGGAAACUAAUUUUAUUUUUUGUUCACUUAGAUUUUGACCGACCCGAACUAACCGAAUUAAAAGACCCAAACUAACCAAAGAAACCGAACCCGCAGACCUAGGUACUGUGAAGAGAAAUGAAAGUUGGGAACAGAUCAAAAGCUUUACAAGAAAAUUUUGCAGUGUACAAACGUUUUUGUUUUUGUUCAAAUAUGUCUUUCACAACAAAAAAAAAGAAUGGAAACUAGAGAGCAGAUGGAGACUUUCUGCAAUCAACGCGAGGAGCAAAGCAAGCCAUGAAAGGCGUCAUGAAAGUAUGUCUCCGGACAAGAUGAGUGAUCUUCACUGAGUUUCUAGAGACUUGUUGCUGUUCUUGUUGAUGGUCACUGGACACUGAAACUGAGCUUCUCCUCAUCUCCUGCGCCUUCAACUUCGCUGAUUGAAGCUUGUUCAAUAUCUUAUCCAUAGAUGCUGACUUCUUCUUCUCCAGUUUCACCUGUCAUUCAAAGAUUCAAUACAAUGCUGUUCAUGCUGACUAUACAAAAGGUAGAGAAGAAGGAGGACCUCAAGUUUUCUAAUGGCAGCUUCUGCUUUAGCUUUCUGAAGAUUCUCCCAAGCUGCUAUCUUCGCUUCCUCUCUUUGCAACCUUCAACACAAAGACAGAACACAUUAAUAAGCUAAUCCAAUAAGAAGAAGUCAUUGGCUGGUUGGUUCAGUUUUGGUUAAUUACUUAGAAAGAGUCAUGGCAGGUUCAGAGAUAUCCCAAGAGGAAGAAGAAGCAGAAGCUUCAGAGUUGUCUUCAACCUCAGGAGGCUGCUCCUCUCUCCUCAUAACAACCCUCGAAGAAGAAGACAUGACUCUUCUCUUUGGACGCUUAAUCAUCUUAGCUCCUUUAUCCAUCUUCACUUCCCUCACUUCACCUCCUCCUCUACAAGGAGGAGUAGUCUCAUCAACCACAGAAACAACCAACGGUGGAGAUAAUAGCUCCUGAGGAUUAUUAUUAGGACUCAUCUCUUCUGGACUCAUCUGCGUAGCUAUGUCUCUUCUUGACACCACCGGAGAUUGCGCCGCCGUACCCUUCCUGUCCUCUGCAUAAAAUUCAAUAAAGCUUAGAUCUUUGGACAUAACUACACAACAAUCACCUCAAAGUUUGGUCCUUUUCAAGAUUAUCUUGAUUGGGUUUGUCAAAAGUUAGUCUCUUUUGAUGUAAAGACUGAAACUUUCCAAGAGGAGAGAGAGAGCUUACCAGUAUCAGUUUUGGAGCUGAGAGAAGAAGUCUCUUCACUCAUCAAAUCAACCCAGCUCCGGCUAUGUCCAUGUCCACCACCACCACCACUACCACCAACACUCCCUCUGAAAACCCUUUCCGCCUCCAAGACUCCGGUAGAGAACGGCGAGCCAGACACCAUUAAACCUUUAGGAGCUGCUUCCAUAGCCCUCAGCCUCGGAGAAUACGGCGGAGGAUGAGGAAGCGUAGGAGGAACAAUGGGACCGCUUUUGGACUUCUGCCGUCUCUGUUCAGAGAACUGAGAGCUCAGGUUUGCGCAGACGCCGGGCGGGUAAGCCGCGACGGGGCUGCAAAUCCACCGCUCGGCGUCUUCCCAUUUGGAAGGUACGGCUCUGCCGCUGUAAAACGGCGUCGUUAAAGCGGAGGAGGAGCCGAGGUGGCGGCGAGGGGCGNNNNNNNNNNNNNNNNNNNNCGUUAAGGCGGAGGAGGAGCGGAGGUGGCGGCGAGGGCCGUGGCCGUUGUUGAGUGUGGGAGUGGAAGAAGCGGUGGAGGAGGAAGGGUGGGGGACUCUCUCGGAGCUCCAGCCUUUGUUGUCGGAGUAGCUACUCGGAGCUGCUCCGGGGCUUAGGAAGCCGCCGAAGCUGUUUGAAGAAAGAGAUGUCUUCCUCAUCUCUUUGUCUGCAGAGAAUAGUGAAAAAGAAAGAAUCUUUCAGAUUUAAAGGUGGAAAAGCUUUAUUAUGAAGAAACUGAACUCAUUUUUCUUUGUUGACCGGAGAGAUUUGAAGUGUGUUCAAAGAGAGAGAGAGAGAGAGUGAUGAUGUAAACUGAAUAAAGAGUAGAGGAAAUGUACUUUUGUGUUUCUCAAAAGGUGAGAACUUUGAGAGAAGAGAGAGAUAGAGAUGAGGAGAGAGAGAGAGAGAGAGAGAGAGAGAGACAAAUCAGAUCAAACCAAAGAGAGAGGGGAGAGUUUUUGUUUUGUAAGCAUUAAGACAAAUGUCCGUGGCCGGUCCGAUCAUAAACUCAACAAUUAAAAGGUGAUAAAAAGCUUGGUGUGUAUUUUUGAUUAGGUGAUAAAAAGCUUGGUGUGUACUAUUUUUUAUUUCCGUUCGAAUUAGAUUAUCAUCAUUUUUGGUCAAUUUUGAUUUGAGUUUUGGUAUAAGUGGUUUAUAUAGUGAAUUGUAACAGAUGAUCGGUUCACCUUCUGACAUUAGGUGAAAAAUAUUUUAAAUUCGGAUCAGACAACGUAGUAGCCAGCAAUUCACUAUGUAUCAUUAAGCGUGUUUCGACCGACUCUAUCGAUAGAAUUUAUAAAAGAAAAAAAAAGAUGAUAAAAGAAAACAAGAUAUCUCUUAACAUUAAAAUCAAUUUAAAAUUGACUUCUUUUGAGGUAAUGCAAUUUAAACUUUCUUAAAAUGGAAAAUAAAAUUAAUGAAGAAAAAUGAUUAACAGAUUUGGACGGGGAAAAAAAUUUCCGUUAUAGCUUUUAUCCUUGUUAUUUGUUUUGAUCCUCUGCAGCGUUACACAAAGCCACAACUCUUCCCAUGUGACCAUUCUGCUCUUUUGUUUGUUCUUUCGAUACAUUUCAGACACUUUUUUGUCGUUUCUGUUAAUAGGCUUCCCGCUUUUUCCUUUUUAACUUUUUUUACGUUAUUUAACUGUUAACUAUUUUUCUUAUAUAGAUUUGUAUGUACUGUAACUUCCUGCAGACCUAGAAAGAAGGAUCGUAGCCACUCAAUAAAGAAACACUGCUUUUAGUUCUAAUUGGUGGAGGUAAUAUAAGUUGAAAUAACUCCGUGAGUUCGUAAAUUCUAGAACCUUCAUUUAGUACUAGUUCAAUACUAACAUUAUAGACUUUGUGUUUACGGAUGUUUAACAAGUUUAUUACUAGUUACCAAACUAGUAGUUUGUUUUAUACACUACAGUUUGAGCAGUACUUAGCAGUUCGAAGUAGCCACUUUUGAAGACAUUUCACAUGUAAUAUACGACGGAUAUACCAACAUACUUAAUUCGUCAUUGUUUUAAUAAUUACUUACAUCCUUUAAUAAAGCAAUCUCGUUUGUCGUGGCAUUUCUCAUCUCGGCUUUUAGUACUUACAGUUCCAAAGAUCUGAAUUCCUCAAAUUGUUGAUUAUUCAUGAAGUUGCGAAAUUUGAAAGCGUUAGUAAAAAAUAACACGGAGUCAUUAUCACGUUAUGCUACUAUGUAUUGAAAGCAUAGGGAUGAUCAAGCACAGAGACACAGACGACAAAACACACUAGUCUCUCGUUGUUAUUUAAUGUGGCAUUGAUUUUUCGAACAAAACAAACCCAUCAAUUUGUAUAAAAAAUAUUUCUGAAUAUGGGUCUAAUUAUAAAAAAAAAACCCACGUAUCAUAUUUGACGCAUGACAAAUAGCGACUCCGCUCCUACCACAUUCGACGUUUGAUCUUUUCUUCUCCUUCAUUCAGAUCGUUCUUAUCUUUUGUCACAGAUAUGUUAUGAAAAAUAUCUACAGAGAGAGACCAGACUAAUCGUUUAAGGUCGCAUGUAAAAUAGCGAAUCCUCUCAUAUCACAUUCAACGUUAAACUUCUUUGUUUUUCCUUCAUUCAAAUUUCAAACCAUUAUAAGAAUAUCAUAUCCGUAUUGAAAGAAACACAGAGAAAGAGAGAUUUCAACUAACACAUUUUUGACUACAUAAUAAUUAAAUUAAAUGAUUGACAAAAAUAUCAAUCAAUGUUCAAAACUUUAUUAUUGUAGAUUUGUAACAAUUAUAGCUGAUGUAUUAUUACCUUUACAUCCAUUGACUAAAACAAGCUUUAUAUCUUUAUUCAUUUACUAAAAUUAAGCUUUUAGUUUCAACAUCUGAUAAACUACCAAAACAAACCAUCUGAAAGCUUAAUUCUUGUUUGCUACCAUUGAUGCAAAACAGCUAUAGUAUGACACAAUGUCGCAGUCGAACUUUAUUCAGGAUAGAAAAGUAAGAAAACAAGAAAACACACAUAACAAAUAUAUAAAAAUAUAGGACAAGAGGCAAACAUAUAGUCUUUUGGCUUCAAUAAUCCUCUUCAUCUGUUUCCCUUCAUAGUUCAGUGCCUUGUCCUGCUUCUUCGCCUGCAAG